CUUUUCUGAAUCUAGUGGCGAACGGGUGAGUAACACGUAGGUAACCUGCCCAUGUGCCCGGGAUAACUUCUGGAAACGGAUGCUAAAACCGGAUAGGUAGCAGACAAGCAUUUGACUGCUAUUAAAGUGGCUAAGGCCAUGAACAUGGAUGGACCUGCGGUGCAUUAGCUAGUUGGUGAGGUAACGGCCCACCAAGGCGACGAUGCAUAGCCGGCCUGAGAGGGUGAUCGGCCACACUGGAACUGAGACACGGUCCAGACUCC
rnacentral:rRNA from 1 species